rnacentral:rRNA from 1 species
UACGAAGGGGGCUAGCGUUGUUCGGAUUUACUGGGCGUAAAGCGCACGUAGGCGGAUCGUUAAGUCGGGGGUGAAAUCCUGGAGCUCAACUCCAGAACUGCCUUCGAUACUGGCGAUCUUGAGUCCGGAAGAGGAGAGUGGAAUUCCUGGUGUAGCGGUGAAAUGCGCAGAUAUCAGGAGGAACACCCGUGGCGAAAGCGGCUCUCUGGGACGGUACUGACGCUGAGACGCGAAAGCGUGGGGAGCAAACAGG